rnacentral:lncRNA from 1 species
UUAUUACUUGCAAACCCUAUUUUUAUGUAUAGUAAUAUUCACGUUAUUUUCUAUGAAUAUUCAUUAGGGAUUUACUUGAAUCAUUGUAUUUGAUUGGCUGUUAAUAUUUUCGCGGUCAAGUUUAAUUUCCUUUGUUUUGUACCUGUACAUUUCCACGGGACGAUAGCCAUGACAGUCCAUUGAAUUUAUGUCUGUUUAUCUUGACCACAUAGUUUACCUGUAAACCUUAUAUAUUUUGGACA